UUAGGCUUUCCCUAACCCAAAACACGAGAGUUGGGCCCUGCAAUUUGUCUCCACAAAAACCCCGACUCAAAUAUAAAACCCGACCCUGCAGACCAAACCUCACGGGUCGAGCAUUCGGCAAAGUUCAUCACUCGAAGAGAUUCCGAGAGAUCACAACACACACUCACCAAAUGCAGGAAACAAAGCAGAAAUAGAGUAAUAUGCGAAGAGAGUUGAGUCCCGGCUUGAAGAUCCUCUGGGUCUGGACGCUUGGAACCGCCGCCGUACUUGUUACCAGUGUGGUGAGGACAAGGAUGAGGGACUUGGAAACUCUUACCAACACCGAGCAUCAGCCGCAGCCGCAGCAACACGACACGGAGACAAUGAUGGCGGACAGUUCGACUCUGUCCAGUGAACUGAUUCGAGAAGAGAAACCGUAGGUUUGCUCGACACCAAUACAAGUACCCCAGUUUUGUAUGUAUUGUUUUUGUUAAUUUCCUCGGCUUGGAUUGGAUGUUCAUGUUUUGUGUUUGGAGAAAUCGGUACGCAAUGUGUUUGAUGAA